rnacentral:lncRNA from 1 species
CUAACCUGGCCGAGCCUCCCUCCCUCUGGGCUCAGGUCUCUGGACCACUCCCAGGCCAAGGCGGGGGGGGUGCCCCGUGCAGGAGAAGCCCGCAGCUCACCGAGAGGUGCCCCAGGACACCGCCAGUGUUCCCGAAGCGCGAUGGAGAUGGUCCAGGGGCCCAGAGCGGGCACGAGGGCCCAGGCCGGCUCCAGAGUGGGCAGCCCGGGCAUUUCCAGUAAAUGGGGCUCCAUUCAGGAAACGAAACAGAAGAGACACAGAAACCGACAGCUGACGUCAUAAUGCAGCUCCAAAAUAUGGGCAUCGCGUCCUCAUUUACUUGGCCAGGACUUCCUCGUUUUCACUUUCUGGUCUCUUCCGAACUGCCACCGGAGCCCCUGGAGGUCAGGGUUCAUGCCACCUGCCCCAAGCAUGGCAUUAACUUCAAGGCACGUGCAUUCUCCUAAAAAAAAAAAAAAUUAAAUAAAAAAUAUGUAAGGCAAGGCGCCUGGGUGGCACAGUCGGUUAAGUGAUUAAGCAAGCAUCCCACUCUUGGUUUCGGCUCAGGUCGUGAUCCCAGAGUCAUGCCCUGCAUCGGGCUUCACACUCAGCGCAGUCAGAGCCUGCUUGAGAUUCUCGCCCUCUCCUUCUGUCCCUCCCCCUGCUUGUGCUAACAAAAUAAAUAAAUUCCUUGUCCAGUGUUCUCAACUUUCUGAUUUACUGCCCUGUUAAGGUACUCGACUUUGUUCUCAAACCUCCAAAACCAGGGGUAGAUGCUGCAGGCAUUUUGCUUUGCUCCCUGAGGCACUGGCUCCCAGGGAACAACUUGUUCCUAGGGGUGAGUCACCUGGAUAUAGUCUAAUUGUCAUGCUUGGGAGGCCUCCAGCUAGGGGAGUGCUCCCAUAGCCAAUUCCUGCCCGUUUUGGGUCUGGGCUUCUCCUGGGGCCUACAUGCUAUUGCUUUUCUGGUUCCUUGAGGUCAGAGGCUGACGAUAUUCAAACCCAGGCCUCCAGACCCCUAGUUCAGGGCCCACCAGCCAUCACGAGCACUGGACUAAGAGUCAGCAGACCUGGG